rnacentral:misc_RNA from 1 species
UCUCAGCAGGGAGUUCAGCAGCAGCAGCAAGCCAUUCAACAGAGUUCUCAUCAAGUAGGACAGCACAUGUUGCAGCAUCAAAACUUGCAAAUGCAACAACCACAAGGUCAGCAAUAUGCAUAUCAGCAUUAUAUGAGAUAUCAGCAAAAUAUGCCUCCACAGAACCAACAUGGCUUACCGCAGCAGUUUGCUAAUCAACCUGAUUAUAUAGCAGCAUUCCCUAAAAGGGAAGAAGUUGAUUUUCAACAGGGAAAUCAAACAGGUUUUUCUCCAUCUCAUUUUCAGCAGACUGCUACACCAUCUUCUCAAAA